AACGAACGCUGGCGGCAUGCCUAACACAUGCAAGUCGAACGAGACCUUCGGGUCUUGUGGCGCACGGGUGCGUAACGCGUGGGAACCUGCCCUUAGGUUCGGAAUAACUCCCCGAAAGGGGUGCUAAUACCGGAUAAUGUCUUCGGACCAAAGAUUUCUCGCCUUUGGAUGGGCCCGCGUUGGAUUAGCUAGUUGGUAGGGUAAAAGCCUACCAAGGCGACGAUCCAUAGCUGGUCUGAGAGGAGGAUCAGCCACACUGGGACUGAGACACGGCCCAGACUCCUACGGGAGGGAGCAGUGGGGAAUAUUGGACGAUGAGCGAAAGCCUGAUCCAGCAAUGCCGCGUGAGAGAUGAAGGCCUUAGGGUUGUAAAGCUCUUUUACCCGGGAUGAUAAUGACAGUACCGGGAGAAGAAGCUCCGGCUAACUCCGUG
rnacentral:rRNA from 1 species